GCUCUGAGGUGUUGAGUGAUAUUACCUAGGUCUUCUUGAGCCAUACACUGUCUUGAGAUCUUAUCCAUUGUAUCUUUUUUAUUUUUAAACUUUC